GGGAUGACGUCAAGUCAUCAUGGCCCUUACGACCAGGGCUACACACGUGCUACAAUGGCAUAUACAAAGAGAAGCGACCUCGCGAGAUCAAGCGGACCUCAUAAAGUAUGUCGUAGUCCGGAUUGGAGUCUGCAACUCGACUCCAUGAAGUCGGAAUCGCUAGUAAUCGUAGAUCAGAAUGCUACGGUGAAUACGUUCCCGGGCCUUGUACACACCGCCCGUCACACCAUGGGAGUGGGUUGCAAAAGAAGUAGGUAGCUUAACCUUCGGGAGGGCGCUUACCACUUUGUGAUUCAUGACUGGGGUGAAGUCGUAACAAGGUAACCGUAGGGGAACCUGCGGUUGGAUCACCUCCUUACCUUAAAGAA
rnacentral:rRNA from 1 species